GAUGAACGCUAGCGGCAGGCUUAACACAUGCAAGUCGAGGGGCAGCAGGUCUUCGGACGCUGGCGACCGGCAAACGGGUGCGGAACACGUACGCAACAUACCCACUACAGGGGGAUAGCCCGGAGAAAUCCGGAUUAACACCCCAUAGUAUAACUGGAAGGCAUCUUUUGGUUAUUAAAAAUUUAUUGGUAGUGGAUUGGCGUGCGUCCCAUUAGAUAGUUGGCGGGGUAACGGCCCACCAAGUCAGCGAUGGGUAGCUGGUGUGAGAGCACGACCAGCCACACGGGCACUGAGACACGGGCCCGACUCCUACGGGAGGCAGCAGUGAGGAAUAUUGGUCAAUGGACGCAAGUCUGAACCAGCCAUGCCGCGUGGAGGAUGACAGCCUUCUGGGUUGUAAACUUCUUUUAUAUGGGAAGAAAAGUACGGUAUCUACUGUAUCCGACGGUACCAUAUGAAUAAGCACCGGCUAACUCCGUGCCAGCAGCCGCGGUAAUACGGAGGGUG
rnacentral:rRNA from 1 species